ACGACACUCUAUUGUUAAAACCGCUUCUCGUACAAUCACCGAAGUUAAGCAACGUCGAGCCUGGUUAGUACCUAGCUGGGUGACGACUGCUUGGGAAUACAAGGUGCUGUAAG